rnacentral:rRNA from 1 species
GACGGACGCUGGCGGCGUGCUUAACACAUGCAAGUCGAGCGGUAAGGCCCUUUCGGGGGUACACGAGCGGCGAACGGGUGAGUAACACGUGGGUGACCUGCCCUCAGCUCUGGGGAUAAGCCCUGGGAAACCGGGUCUAAUACCGGAUAUGACUCCAUGACGCAUGUUGUGGGGUGAAAGCCUUGUGCGGCUGAGGAUGGGCCCGNGGCCUAUCAGCUUGUUGGUGGGGUGAUGGCCUACCAAGCGACGACGGGUAGCCGGCCUGAGAGGGCGACCGGCCACACUGGGACUGAGACACGGCCCAGAC